rnacentral:misc_RNA from 1 species
GAUGAAGAACGUAGCGAAAUGCGAUACGUAAUGUGAAUUGCAGAAUUCAGUGAAUCAUCGAGUCUUUGAACGCACAUUGCGCCCCCUGGUAUUCCGGGGGGCAUGCCUGUCCGAGCGUCAUUGCUGCCCUCAAGCACGGCUUGUGUGUUGGGCCUCCGUCCUCCUCCCGGGGGACGGGCCCGAAAGGCAGCGGCGGCACCGCGUCCGGUCCUCGAGCGUAUGGGGCUUCGUCACCCGCUCUUGUAGGCCCGGGCGGCGCUUGCCGACACAUCAAUCUUUUUUCCAGGUUGACCUCGGAUCAGGUAGGGAUACCCGCUGAACUUAAGCAUAUCAAUAAGCGGAGGA